CUGCAGUUGCCUGAUGGGGAUGAUGGGCUCCGUGGUCAGGUUCCUGCGCCUGAAGCGGAAAAAGGAGAGCCGGGCCAGUUGGGUCCUUCCAAGACGGAUGAUCUUCAUGGAGGAAGGGACGCCUCCCGGUUGGACCCAGCUGAACAGGCAGCUAAUGCGACCGAGAGCAGGGAAGCCUUUAGGGAACCGACUGAGGAAUCAGCCACCCGAAGACCAGCUGACCUGGCCGUGCCAGAGACCAGGGCUGGGCCACCGAAGGGCACGGAGAUGACCCUGGAGAUGAGCCCGGAGGGCCAACCCUCCUCCCGUUGUGACCAAGGCAGUCCUGGAAGGGGGGCUGCGUCUUCCACCGCAGGGACAGAGGCCGAAGAGCCCCCCCAUUCAGGAAAGAGCCGGAAAAGAGCAUCCGAAGCACCGGUGGAAGCAGGUGGGGAGGAGAUGGAGCCGGAUCCUGUCAACCUGGCCGGUCAGCCUGAAAAGCCCCCUUUGGACUCCGCUUCAGAACCAGCAGAAGACGGCAGGGUUGCCUGGAAGGGCUUCCCAGAAGAUGCCAGUCUGGACUUGGUCCAAGGGAGCGGGCCUGUGGCUGGCAGGCUUCCUGGGCAGCCAGGCACGGUAACUGUGGCUUCACCUCUUGGAGACGCCGUUAAAGGGCCUCCGGCAAGAGAGGCGUCCAGCAGUCCCCAGUCAGGGAAAGGUGGAUACGCUCAGAAGGCCAGGAUGGUGCCUGAGGACGCCAACAGGCUGCCGGCCCCAGAAAGUGCCUGCCGGCUGGGCAAGGACCCAGAGGCCUCUGCCGGGCACAGAGGAGGCUUCGGGUGCUCGGAGCCCUGCGAAGAAGAGAAACCAAACCGCUCUCCUCCUAGGAAAAGACCUCAAAACGGGGACUUGGAUUUGGAAGGCGCUGCCUGUCACCCAAAGAAGCUCUUCCGGGAGGAUUUGGCUUCUGUUCGGGGCCCUGGGAGUGACCCAGCGGCAUCUCCUGUGGCGCCUCCUCCUCCUCCUCAUCUGAGGGAGAGCGUCGAGCAAUUUGGCAAAACAAUAGAGAAUUUCCUGGAUCAGUGCAGGAACCGAGUCCCUCUGUGCUCCGACCCCACGGAAAGAAACGGAGAAGCUCUCGCUCAGAUAGUGAGAAAUUACUUUAAAAGCAACGUUGACUCCGAUGCACCUGAAAGGGGGGAAGCCGAAGAAGCUCCGUCUUCAGAAACUGCAGCCGCAAAGGGGAUCGGCUGCCAGUCGGAAGGGGGGGGCGCAGGAGGCCCCAGGGGAAGCCCGGGCGGUGAUGGGCCUGGCUCAC
rnacentral:lncRNA from 1 species